GAGGCAGCAGUGGGGAAUAUUGGACAAUGGGGGCAACCCUGAUCCAGCCAUGCCGCGUGUGUGAAGAAGGCCCUCGGGUUGUAAAGCACUUUCAGCGAGGAAGAACGCCUAUCGGUUAAUACCCGGUAGGAAAGACAUCACUCGCAGAAGAAGCACCGGCUAACUCCGUGCCAGCAGCCGCGGUAAUACGGAGGGUGCAAGCGUUAAUCGGAAUUACUGGGCGUAAAGCGCGCGUAGGUGGCUUGAUAAGCCGGUUGUGAAAGCCCCGGGCUCAACCUGGGAACGGCAUCCGGAACUGUCAGGCUAGAGUGCAGGAGAGGAAGGUAGAAUUCCCGGUGUAGCGGUGAAAUGCGUAGAGAUCGGGAGGAAUACCAGUGGCGAAGGCGGCCUUCUGGACUGACACUGACACUGAGGUGCGAAAGCGUGGGUAGCAAACAGGAUUAGAUACCCUGGUAGUCCACGCCGUAAACGAUGUCGACCAGCCGUUGGGUGCCUAGAGCACUUUGUGGCGAAGUUAACGCGAUAAGUCGACCGCCUGGGGAGUACGGCCGCAAGGUUAAAACUCAAAUGAAUUGACGGGGGCCCGCACAAGCGGUGGAGCAUGUGGUUUAAUUCGAUGCAACGCGAAGAACCUUACCUACCCUUGACAUCUACAGAAGCCGGAAGAGAUUCUGGUGUGCCUUCGGGAACUGUAAGACAGGUGCUGCAUGGCUGUCGUCAGCUCGUGUUGUGAAAUGUUGGGUUAAGUCCCGUAACGAGCGCAACCCUUGUCCUUAUUUGCCAGCGAGUAAUGUCGGGAACUCUAAUGAGACUGCCGGUGACAAACCGGAGGAAGGUGGGGACGACGUCGAGUCAUCAUGGCCCUUACGGGUAGGGCUACACACGUGCUACAAUGGCCGGUACAAAGGGCUGCGAGCUCGCGAGAGUCA
rnacentral:rRNA from 1 species